GAAGAGGAUCUAGACAGCAGUGUAAAGGUAUUGAUACGAGGAGAGGAGGAUCUAGACAGCAGUGUAAAUGUAUUGAUACGAGGAGAGGAGGAUCUAGACAGCAGUGUAAAGGUAUUGAUACGAGGAGAGGAGGAUCUAGACAGCAGUGUAAAGGUAUUGAUACGAGGAGAGGAGGAUCUAGACAGCAGUGUAAAGGUAUUGAUACGAGGAUAGGAGCUCAGAUUCUAUCUGUCCUUGAUCUCCAGCAGUAGGUCUAGAUCUCUGCUUCCUCCAGUACAGACGGCCUCUGCCUCAACACACUGCUUCCUCCAAUCCUUACUACCUCUGACUCAACACAGUGCUUCCUCCAAUCCUUACUACCUCUGACUCAACACAAUGCUUCCUCCAAUCCUU
rnacentral:lncRNA from 1 species